UUUAAAAGAACGGGAGAGAUUCAACCCUGUACCCGAGCGAAAGUGAGUGGUUCAGGGCCGGACGCCGAAGGGGAUAAAACUCUCAGGCAAAAGUACCGUUUUAGUUUC
rnacentral:ncRNA from 2 species